rnacentral:rRNA from 1 species
AUGGCAAGUAGCAGCGACAACACGACGGUGACUCUCCGCAGCGACGACGGCGAGGAGUUCGUGGUCCAGGCGGACACGAUCGCGGCGGCGUCGGUGCUGAUCAAGAACAUGCUGGAGGACGGCUGCGCCGCCGGCGUGAUCCCGCUGACCCAGGUGACGGGCCGCAUCCUCGCCCGCGUCGUCGACUACUGCAACCGCCACUACGCCGACGCCGACGCGGCCACGUACGUCAACAGCACCUUCUCGUCGGGCGACCCGGAGCUGGAUCGCUUCGACACGGACUUCGUGAGCGGCAUCGACCAGGACACGCUCUUCGACCUCCUCCUCGCCGCCAACUACCUCGAGGUACAGGGUCUCCUUGACCUGGCGUGCAAGACGGUGGCCGACCAGAUGAGGGGCAAGACGGUGGAGGGCAUGCGUGCGCACUUCAACAUCGUCAACGACUACACCAAGGAGGAGGAGGCCCAGGUCCGCAGCGAAGUUGCAUGGGCCUUCGAGUAG